rnacentral:rRNA from 1 species
CCUACGGGUGGCAGCAGUGAGGAAUAUUGGUCAAUGGCCGGAAGGCUGAACCAGCCAUGCCGCGUGAAGGUCAGUGCCCUAUGGGCGUUAAACUUCUUUUGUGCGGGAGCAAUAAUGGUCACGUGUGGCCAGACGAGAGUACCGUACGAAUAAGCAUCGGCUAACUACGUGCCAGCAGCCGCGGUAAUACGGGGGAUGCAAGCGUUAUCCGGAUUUAUUGGGUUUAAAGGGUGCCUAGGCGGAGAGGUAAGUCAGCGGUGAAAUGCCCCCGCUCAACGGGGUGAAGUGCAAUUGAUACUGCCUGGCUGGAAUGCGGAUGCCGUGGGAGGAAUGUGUGGUGUAGCGGUGAAAUGCAUAGAUAUCACACAGAACACCGAUUGCGAAGGCAUCUCACGAAUCCGCGAUUGACGCUGAUGCACGAAGGCGUGGGUAUCAAACAGGAUUAGAUACCCCAGUAGUC